UGCCCGCUUCGUAGAGCAGUGGCAACUCAGCCCUUUGCACUGUGCACACACACACACACACUUACUAAAUUGUGCAGACACAUUUGAAAUGAGUCCAUCAAUUAAUAAUUUGAAGUCAUACAAUAUUUAAAAUGUAUGAAAUGUUUCAGUUUCUUCUUGGCUAUUACUUUGGUCGUUAAUCCAGGAUUAUUACACAAGAAAAAAGGUUUUUACAAUGAAAACACUAAUAACUUUCCGAUUCUGAAAUCAACUAGACGACAAAAAAACAGCUUCUUCCCUUACGGGUUCUUUCAUUUCUUUUCCACAGGAGCUAUUCCCCACUCUCACCUGCUACUCUGCACCAAAUCAGGGAAUUUGCAGACUUAUUUAGUUUCCAUCCCAUCCUCCACUCAGGACUGUGCCUGGGCCCCACAAGCAGCUGGGAUCCAGAGAGGAAAGGAUGUGGGAUCGGAUCCGGAGCCAUGCUGCACUGAAUUAGAAGCUCGACAGGGUGGAUCACAGCAUACACCAAGAGGAGCUUAGGAUGGCAGAAUAAAGUUCAAACCACUGUCAUAUGUUUUCUUUCCUAUGGGAGUGACAGAUGAUGAACAUCUGGCACUGCAAUUGACUUUAGACGUUUCAGCAUUAAAGAAGUGCACUGACCUAUA